CAAAACGGUAAGAAAAAAAGCAUGUCAACAGUUGAAAGAUGCAGCACGUUGAAAUCAGCUUAUUCCUGUGCAUGAAUCCGUCAGAAAGCAAUGGCUCUACACUGCAAGCUCCAUGCUGGUGGACCAACGGUAGUACCUUAUUGCAAAGGGCUCCUUGAGGUGGUGUUUCCUUACCUUGUUGCUGUGUGCCCAGCAUCAGGUAUCUUGGGUCAUUUAAGGAGGAAACCAGAGUACCCGGAGAAAACCUGCGCGGGCACGGUGAGAACAAGCAAACUUCACACAGGUGGACCCGGGAGUUGAACGCCAGUCAUCAGAACUGUGAACCCAAUGUUCCAACUAGUUAUUCCAUUUCGCCAGAUUCAAACCACUCCAACAUAUUUUUCACAUUCCUCACUUCACAUUUUUACCUACAUUCCACAUUUUAUCAUGUUAGAAUACUUCCACAUUUCUUGACCCAUUCAAACCAUUCCACUCCGACACAUUUCUGACAUUUCACUGUUUUCAGCGACAUUUCACAUUUUACUAUGCUAAAAUAUCCACACUCUCCCUAUGCAGCAGUAUCACCAUGUAGUAUGGUGCCUCCACCACCUUCUUACGCAAGAACCUGCAACACACUAAGAGAGCAGCUGAAAAGAUCUCUCAUAACACCCUGACAGCACUGUGCACAUUACCCACUGAUUGCAGCUCUUGUUAAAUUGGCCAGAUUGACCAUAUCGGUUAUAUUCUCAAUAGUAUAAGGCACAAUGCACUGUAUUUUUCAGACUAUACGUAGCAUUUUUUUUUCUACAGUUCGGCCAGUGGUGCAACUUAUACUCCAGAGCAACUAAUGUUAAACUAUUAAGUCAUUAUAUCCAGCCAUCCAUUUUCUGAGCUGCUUCGCCAUUAUUUUCACAGUAACCACUGCAGGAGGGUGCUCUAGGCCUGUGUAUCUGUAGCUGCUACGUCUGUAUUUCUGAAAAUGCAUUUCAAAUUAGCAGUAAUAUAUAAAAACAACUGAACAGCACUGAACAAAAAUGGCAUUGAAGAGAAAAUCAUAUUCUGCAGAUUACAAGAUGCAAGUAGUGAAAUAUGCAGCUACACUUAUGCAGAUGGCUUCUUUAGAGCACAAAGCACUCUGCUUUUGAUGUAUCAAAAGCAUUGGCGAGCCCAUCACGCCACAGUUAAAAAAUGUUCUCUACCUGUAGAGUUGGCAAUGUUGUUUACAAAUGACAUGGAGGAUGAAAUUUUCAUUGGAUUUAUUGAUUUUGAGUGAAACUGAUGGUUUGGUAUGACUGUUAGCAUAUUCUUUAUGCUAUAGUUAUCUGAACUUUUAGGUUACGUUAACAUACCAGCAACAUUCUCAGUUUGUUGUUUAUGGAUCAUGCAACGUUAGCAACACCGUACAUCAAUUCAUCCUGCUCUGCUUCUAUUUUUAUUUUAAAAUGUGUUCCAAGAUGAAAUAUCUGCUCUUGUGUUGAUUGUUAUCAAAUAAAUUUUCCCUCAAA